GAAUGCUAAAUGCUGCAUUCUAAGGGGAUUAUCACCUCCCUUCCUCCUCUGCUCCAGCUGAGAAGAGAAUUUGGUUUUCCAGGGUUGGGAGGAGUAAUUCCUGAUUUUGCUGUAGCUGAUUCUUCUGGGAAUGAAUGACCUACUAGGGUAUGCCUACAUAGUUCAUGGCAGCGAGCCUCCCAGCCCAGAUGAACAGACUUGGUGAGAUGUGUGAAGACUCUUCUUCCCUUGAUACUAAGAUCCCGUCAGCUUCUGCACCCAAGAACUAACUUCAGGACCACAAUGGAGCUGAGCUGAUCCUGCCAACUUCCUCUACGUUUUCUGGGACCAUGAAAGAACUGGCAACCCUACCUUUUAAUACUGAUUUAUUUUUAGUUCAUUUAUGAAAACUAUUCAACAAAUCCCAAGAUCAGAGAGUAAUUUGUAAUAAUUUGUAAGCCACUGUUAAAAAGAAAUUAAAAUGAAUAGCGCUUCUUAACACUGACAGUUUUAAAUUGCUAUUGUUUGCAUCAGUUUAAUAUUUGAAUAUUAGCAUGGGAUCAUCAGAAUUAAAUAUGAAAAGACCUAUUGAGUCAUCUAGACCUUCCCCCUUUAAAAGAUAUAUACACCUGAGGAAAUUAAUGUAUUUUCUGUACAUUUAAAGACUUGAAAUUAUGACUAUAUAGUGAGGGUAUUUUUGUACUUUCUGUAUUUUCUGUUAAUUUGUCUUAUUUAGAUAAGUGCCAUUUAAAAUAUAUCUUGACAUGUAAGCUUUUUUGUGAUUUAGUUCACAUAGUAAUGUAAGAUUGUUUGUUUGUAUUUCUACUCACUUUUUUUCUGAAGUAAAUUUUCAUUUUGUUAAAUAUAAGCCUGUGUAUUAAGUUGUGUAUUGCACAAAUACGUUUAGGACCCAAUCCAAUUCCUGUUGAAGUAAUGAGAAUCUUUCCUUUGGCUUCAAUAGAAGUUGGAUCAGACUCUUAAGCCAGAGCUGUCUAUAGCCAGCUUUUGCACUGUAUUAGUCUGUUGUAUUGAGAAUGAUCUGCUACAUCAAUAAAGCCCUGGCUUCUUUGUACAAUGAAAGUCUAUGGAGAGAAGGGGUUACCAUGAAAUAUUGUUUAAUCAUAUUAAUCAUUUAAUCAUCAUAAACAAGAUGAAUAUUUUUUCAUCAACAUUUUUGUUACUUAACAGAUAUAUAAAUAACUGGAUUCUGUUUUGUUUUUGAGCUUGUUUGGCCUGCUUAUGAGACUAAAUAGAGGAAGCUGGGAUGAGAGCAAUAGACAUUUUUCUGGAUUCAAGAUUUUCCCUAAUUAAUAUGCACGCUGUAGAAGGUUAAUUCAAGAGCCUGAUUUUUUUUUUUAUAUGUAAGGUAGCAUAUCUCAGAUUUAAUAUUUUUGUACUAUUGUCUAAUUAUUUGUAGUUCUAAAGAAAACACUUAACUGCCAAGAAUCACAAAAACAUAAAAUAUUAAGCAUUACUUCAUGCAGAUAGCUUAUUACAUUGGUCCUCUGUCUGCACUGGCUGCCUGUUUGUUUCUAAGGGUGGUUUUAAAGGUAUUUUGUUUUUGACCUUUAAGUCCCUGAAUAGUUUGGGACUUGGCUGUGUGAGGGACCAUCUCUCUUUUUAGGUGUUACCACCACAGUUACCAUCAGGAGAGGUGCUUAAGCUACCAAGACCCUCAUUUAAAAGACUCUUAGUGAAUUUUCCAUGUUAGGUCAAGGGACUCUAUAACUAGCUUGCCAUCCUGAUCUGCCAGAGCCUAGUUUUGUUAGACUUGUGUGCUCUGAAUGCUAUCUUACUCGCUGCCUUUUCCUGAGGUUAGUUGAGGAUUAUUGAGGUGCUUAUAAUUUUUAUUGUAUUUUAUUUUAUUCUUUUUUUUUAGGUGAGUAUUAUUCUGUUUUGGGUUAUUUGGCUUCAACUGGUUAUAUUUUGUGACUUGUUUUUCUAUAUUUUAAAUAUUGUAAAAAACCCAUUUCUUUGAUAUCUGGGGUCUGUACAUCUGGGCUUUUGGUUUGAAAAUGUGAUCCUGGAACAUCAGAUCCUAUAUUAAUUUAAAUAUGUCUCAGCAUAACCAGUAUGAAUAAAAGUUGGUGAGAGAUGAAUUAUGUACUUGCUGACAUUUCAGUUUGACUGGCAGAGGAGGAUAAAGUGUGUAAAUUGCAUAUUUCCGUGUUCACUUUUGAUUUUUUUUUAAGUUCUGUUUAGAACUUUACCUUUGUUUUUAAUAAUUAUUUGAUAAUUGCAGUUGAUAAUAUACCACAUUGCUUUCUAUCAUGUUUCUGUAAUUUGUGUUCUGUUUUUUCCCCAAUAAAUGCCCCUGUACACACACAAUAUUUUUUGUAGAUAAACUACAUUCUUCUUUUGUUUUUUUUAUUUUUCAAAUCUGCAGAUUGGAUUUAGUGUUGCAUUUAUAAUGUUGAGUGGACUUGUUCUCUGUCUGCUCUUGUAUCAGAGAACUUCAUAUUGAAUUUUUAGUGAUUUGUUUUACUGAACUUAUUGAAAAAAAGUUUGUGUAAUUUGCUAAAAAAGUUUGCAGAAUUAGACAGUUACAGUAUAAUGCACUUUUAU